GCCUGUGUAGCUCAGGGGCAGAGCACUUGCUUCGUAAGCAAGGGGUCGGGGGUUCAACUCCCUCCACAGGCU
rnacentral:tRNA from 1 species